GCUGUUUCUAUAAUGAUGCAGGUAUGACUCAUCUUCUAUUCUGAGUCAGAGUUGAAGAGGGGUCCUGACCUUUCAUCUCCUUGGUGACCGUUGUGAUGUCACCGCACCUCCUUGCUGUCAUCAUCCUCUUCUGGCUCCCUCUGCCUCUGUCACUAAUCCACACAGAUUCUGCUUGGUUUGGUCAAUGAGCGUCUUGAGUUGUGGGACCUCCAGGAAGCUGAAGCGCUGUGUGAUGGAGUACAGCAGCAGAAAACCAUCAGCCCAGCGAAUGGAAGACUCCAGAGAAGCUACAGAGUGCACAAAAGCAGCUGAGCUCAUAGUCGAGAGCACAAACAUUUGAAAUGAAAAGCAACAAGUUUGUCUAUUACACUCAACUGAAGACGAGCUAUUUUUAGAGCUGGACAAAAGUAGCAGGAGGAGCUUACCUGUUUUCCCAGUGUUCUGAGCUCCCAGAAUAAGAAGUUUAACUGGAACCAUUUUCCUGUUGUAGCCAAGAUUAGUCCAGCGUGUGCCCCGCUGUUUGUCCCUGAUUGACGCCCUGCAGGGAAGAGCAGAGGAUGCUGAGCCAGCUUUGGGAGACAACAAAAGGAACGGCAUAUAACAGGAGCCAUUUGUCUGUGGGAAUGGCGUCCAACUCUGAGCGCAAAUCCUAUUUUGGAUCCAUUGAGAACACACACACAGGCACUCCUUUAACUACUUAAUCACAUCAAAAGCUCGCCUCUAUCUACAGAACUUCUUUGACACCAGAUAUUGAGCCAGAGUCCAGAGUGAUCUCAAGCCUCGCUAUAAUAACUUUGAGACUCAGAUAUACUGCUUCAAUGCUGGAUGCUCAUAUAAAACAUGAAGUCAACCUGUGAGCCAAAAGCUCAGGCUUCACAUAUUGUUUUGUGCACUUGGAUUUACAUGCCAUAGAGAUAGGACGUCCUUAUAUGGUCAUCUCAGUCACAGCACCUGCAGUCUUUUGUUUGUGAUGGGCAGCCAAUCAGAAGAAAGGAAGGGAGACAAGCUAAAACUUGUUUUCAACAGUGGAUCAAGUAAGGAG